UGUCAAACUGCCUUUAAACACGCAUCUCAAU
rnacentral:piRNA from 1 species